rnacentral:rRNA from 1 species
CAGUAGCCGCGGGAAUACGUAGGGUGCGAGCGUUAAUCGGAAUUACUGGGCGUAAAGCGUGCGCAGGCGGUUCGUUAAGACAGAUGUGAAAUCCCCGAGCUUAACCUGGGGACUGCAUUUGUGACUGGCGAGCUAGAGUAUGGCAGAGGGGGGUAGAAUUCCACGUGUAGCAGUGAAAUGCGUAGAGAUGUGGAGGAAUACCGAUGGCGUAGGCAGCCCCCUGGGCCAAUACUGACGCUCAUGCACGAAAGCGUGGGGAGCGAACAGGAUUAGAUACCCGAGUAGUCCCUGUCUCUUAUAC